UGCGCCCCGCAGCCGCAUCGCAGAAGCUGAAGAAAGGAAGCAUCUUUGGCGGGGUGGGGUGGCCCAAAGAGGACCAAAGAUGGUGCUGUGAUUUUGCUAAGAGGAACUAGAUCCUGGAUCCUGGCCUCAGUUCCAUGUUCCCUGCAGAGACAAAGCUGAGAUAUGGGGAGAGGCGGGCUCCGUGGACUGUGGAUUUUGGGGGGGGGGAUUUAGAGUGGGCCGGGCUGGCGGGAGUGGGGGACCACAGACCAAGGACGGGAGUCCCCGUAGUCUCCAGACUGUCAGCUCACAUCUUCCCAAGUUGGGGGACUCAAGAGAUGUCAUCUACAAGCAGAAAGCAUCUCAUGUUAUUCCUUUUGAGGAUAUCUCGUCACUAUCCCAAGUCAGUCCCUCGUCUUUGGUGGUCCCCAUUGUCUGGGUGUUGUAGACUCAUGGAACUCAUGGAAGUGAUGGAACGGACCCUAAAUGACACCUAUUCCAAACCUCCCCUCAUUCUAUAGGCACUGUGCUAAGCUCUGAGGAUACAAAGG